rnacentral:rRNA from 1 species
GACGUAGGUGGCCAGCGUUGUUCGGAAUCACUGGGCAUAAAGCGCACGUAGGCGGCUUUCAAAGUCGGGUGUGAAAUCCCUCGGCUCAACCGAGGAACUGCGCCCGAAACUAGGAGGCUUGAGGUUCGGAGGGGAAGGUGGAAUUCCCGGUGGAGCGGUGAAAUGCGUAGAGAUCGGGAAGAACGCCGGCGGCGAAAGCGACCUUCUGGCCGAAAUCUGACGCUGAGGUGCGAAAGCUAGGGGAGCAAACGGG